UUGCUGAAACUAGUAAAGUGGCGCACGGGUGAGUAACGCGUGGGUAAUCUACCUCCGAAUUGGGGAUAACAUUGCGAAAGCGAUGCUAAUACCGAAUGACAUCUCAAUAACUCCGGUCUUUGAGAUCAAAGGUGGCCUCUCCAUGGAAGCUACUGUUUGGAGAUGAGCCCGCGUACCAUUAGCUUGUUGGUAGGGUAAUGGCCUACCAAGGCAACGAUGGUUAGCUGGUCUGAGAGGAUGAUCAGCCACACUGGAACUGACACACGGUCCAGACUCCUACGGGAGGCAGCAGUGAGGAAUUUUGCGCAAUGGGGGAAACCCUGACGCAGCAACGCCGCGUGAGUGAUGAAGGCUUUCGGGUCGUAAAGCUCUGUCAAGUGAGAAGAACCUGCCCUUUGCUAAUAUCACUGGGCACUGACGGCAUCACUGAAGGAAGCACCGGCUAACUCCGUGCCAGCAGCCGCGGUAAUACGGAGGGUGCAAGCGUUAUUCGGAAUCACUGGGCGUAAAGAGCGCGUAGGCGGUUUCUAAAGUCAGAUGUGAAAGCCCGGGGCUCAACCCCGGAAGUGCAUUUGAAACUUAGGGACUUGAGUAUGGGAGAGGGAAGUGGAAUUCCUGGUGUAGCGGUGAAAUGCGUAGAUAUCAGGAGGAACACCGGUGGCGAAGGCGACUUCCUGGACCAAUACUGACGCUGAGGCGCGAAGGCG
rnacentral:rRNA from 1 species